UUGUAGGCAGCCAUUUUAUCAAUCGCGACGAGCUGAAAGUACUUGAAGGGAUUAGAUUUUCCCGGUUUUUCAUAGUUAUAUUAAUAUACUUUCAUUAAGACAGCAGGCGUAAUGGAGACAGAUGGUCUGACUGACUUCACCUCAGACGAGUGUCCAGAGGGAUCUAAAAUAAAUGCAAGCAAAAAUCAGCAGGAUGACGGGAAAAUGUUUAUUGGUGGCCUCAGCUGGGACACCAGCAAGAAAGACCUUAAAGAUUACCUUUCUAAAUUCGGAGAAGUACUGGACUGCACGAUCAAAACAGAUGCUGUUACCGGACGGUCACGGGGUUUCGGAUUCGUACUCUUCAAAGAUGCAGAGAGCGUUGAAAGGGUUUUGGAGCUGAAGGAGCAUAAGUUGGAUGGGAAGCUUAUUGAUCCCAAGCGGGCCAAAGCCAUGAAGGGGAAGGAACCUCCUAAGAAGGUCUUUGUCGGUGGACUCAGCCCAGAGACAACAGAGGACCAAAUCAGGGAAUACUUCGGGACAUAUGGAGAGAUAGAAAAUAUUGAACUUCCAGUCGACGCCAAAACAAAUGAAAGGAGAGGAUUCUGCUUUGUGACCUUUGUGGAAGAAGAACCCGUUCAGAAGCUCCUGGAGAACAGAUACCAUGAAGUCGGCCCAGGAAAGUGUGAAAUCAAGGUGGCACAGCCCAAAGAAGUCUACAGGAAACAACAGAACCGGGCGGAGGGCAGAGGAUACGGCGGUGGCGGCGGCGGCGGAGGCGGCGGCGGCAGAGGAGGUGGUUUCCGGGGGCGUGGUAGAGGUGGAGGUCAAAAUUACAAUCAAGGCUACGGUAACUAUUAUGGCCAGAACUACGGAAGCUACGGCGAUGGAUACAGUCAGGGAUACAAUGGCUAUACGGGCUAUGAUUACUCUGGCUACAACUAUCAGAAUUAUGGAUAUGGCCAGGGUUACGAUGACUACAGUGGGCAGCAAAGCAGCUAUGGCAAGGCAUCACGAGAAGGCGGUAAUCACCAGAACAACUACCAACCAUACUGAGGGAUUGUCUAGACCUGCUUAGAUCAUUUUAUUUCCCUUGCGGGAACUUCAUUGCAGGCCGUGUGUCACCUGACCACAAAUCUCUGGGCGUCGCACAUAGCGGGCAGAGAGCCAGGCAUGCACAAGAAAACGCUGUCCUGUGGUGGACAAGCUGACAGCGAGAGUGACUACCAUUUGAAGGCAGCUUGUGGAUUCCUAUUCCCUAACGAAUCAGUCUUCGCGUAUUUUUCAUGAUAAAGGCCCUGAUUUUCAGUUGUCCUCUGGAGAUGGAAGACACGCUUUGUACAUAGUGAGGAUUUUUAGCAUUUGUGUUUUUUUGUUUUGUUUUUUUUUCUCCUUAUAUGUCCUCUUGUGCUCUGUUGAAGGUGUUGUAGCGUUUGAGCUUACCUUAUGUUCUUAAAUCUGUAUUCAGAAAGUGACCUUUUUGUUUCUGUUUUAAUUUUCUCUGAGGUUUUGGAUAAAGGGAUCAUUAAAUCGAGGGUACCAUA